rnacentral:rRNA from 1 species
GCCCUUCAGAGUUUGAUCAUGGCUCAGGAUGUACGCUAGCUACAGGCUUAACACAUGCAAGUCGAGGGGCAGCGGGAUUGAAGCUUGCUUCAAUUGCCGGCGACCGGCGCACGGGUGAGUAACGCGUAUCCAACCUUCCGUACACUCAGGGAUAGCCUUUCGAAAGAAAGAUUAAUACCUGAUGGUAUGAUGAGAUUGCAUGAUAGCAUCAUUAAAGAUUUAUCGGUGUACGAUGGGGAUGCGUUCCAUUAGGUAGUAGGCGGGGUAACGGCCCACCUAGCCAACGAUGGAUAGGGGUUCUGAGAGGAAGGUCCCCCACAUUGGAACUGAGACACGGUCCAAACUCCUACGGGAGGCAGCAGUGAGGAAUAUUGGUCAAUGGACGAGAGUCUGAACCAGCCAAGUAGCGUGAAGGAUGAAGGUCCUACGGAUUGUAAACUUCUUUUAUAAGGGAAUAAACCCUCCCACGUGUGGGAGCUUGUAUGUACCUUAUGAAUAAGCAUCGGCUAACUCCGUGCCAGCAGCCGCGGUAAUACGGAGGAUGCGAGCGUUAUCCGGAUUUAUUGGGUUUAAAGGGAGCGCAGACGGGUCGUUAAGUCAGCUGUGAAAGUUUGGGGCUCAACCUUAAAAUUGCAGUUGAUACUGGCGUCCUUGAGUGCGGUUGAGGUGUGCGGAAUUCGUGGUGUAGCGGUGAAAUGCUUAGAUAUCACGAAGAACUCCGAUUGCGAAGGCAGCACACUAAUCCGUAACUGACGUUCAUGCUCGAAAGUGUGGGUAUCAAACAGGAUUAGAUACCCUGGUAGUCCACACGGUAAACGAUGGAUACUCGCUGUUGGCGAUAUACUGUCA